rnacentral:rRNA from 1 species
GUCCACACACACCCUUGGGGACUUGAAGACAUCGUCCAGACUUCUAACCGGAGCAGCAGUACGAUCUCCGCCAUGGGGGGGAGCUGACCCGAGGCACGGCGCCGUGAGUGAGGAAGGGUUUUCGGAUCGUAAAGCUCUGUGUUAAAGGAAGAACGAGUGUGAGAAUGGAAAGUUCAUACUGUGACGGUACUUAACCCAGAAAAGGGACGGCUAAACUACGUGCCAGCAGCCGCGGUAAUACGUAGGUCCCGAGCGUUGUCCGGAUUUAUUGGGCGUAAAGCGAGCGCAGGCGGUUAGAAAAGUCUGAAGUGAAAGGCAGUGGCUCAACCAUUGUAGGCUUUGGAAACUGUUUAACUUGAGUGCAGAAGGGGAGAGUGGAAUUCCAUGUGUAGCGGUGAAAUGCGUAGAUAUAUGGAGGAACACCGGUGGCGAAAGCGGCUCUCUGGUCUGUAACUGACGCUGAGGCUCGAAAGCGUGGGGAGCGAACAGGAUUAGAUACCCUGGUAGUCCACGCCGUAAACGAUGAGUGCUAGGUGUUAGGUCCUUUCCGGGACUUAGUGCCGCAGCUAACGCAUUAAGCACUCCGCCUGGGGAGUACGACCGCAAGGUUGAAACUCAAAGGAAUUGACGGGGGCCCGCACAAGCGGUGGAGCAUGUGGUUUAAUUCGAAGCAACGCGAAGAACCUUACCAGGUCUUGACAUCCCGAUGCUAUUUCUAGAGAUAGGAAGUUUCUUCGGAACAUCGGUGACAGGUGGUGCAUGGUUGUCGUCAGCUCGUGUCGUGAGAUGUUGGGUUAAGUCCCGCAACGAGCGCAACCCUUAUUGUUAGUUGCCAUCAUUGAGUUGGGCACUCUAGCGAGACUGCCGGUAAUAAACCGGAGGAAGGUGGGGAUGACGUCAAAUCAUCAUGCCCCUUAUGACCUGGGCUACACACGUGCUACAAUGGCUGGUACAACGAGUCGCAAGCCGGUGACGGCAAGCUAAUCUCUGAAAGCCAGUCUCAGUUCGGAUUGUAGGCUGCAACUCGCCUACAUGAAGUCGGAAUCGCUAGUAAUCGCGGAUCAGCACGCCGCGGUGAAUACGUUCCCGGGCCUUGUACACACCGCCCGUCACACCACGAGAGUUUGUAACACCCGAAGUCGGUGAGGUAACCGUAAGGAGCCAGCCGCCUAAGGUGGGAUAGAUGAUGGGGUGAAGUCUACACGUGAUGG